rnacentral:tRNA from 1 species
GCCGGUUUGGCUCAGUGGAUAGAGUGUCAGCCUACGGACUGAAAGGUCCCGGGUUCGAUUCCCGGCAACGGCA